GCAUGGCCUUGGUGCUAAAGUUGG
rnacentral:piRNA from 1 species